GCCCUUGUGGUGUAGUGGUAAAGACUCUGCCUGGUUAUGUAACCAGAAGGUCACAAGUUCAAUUCUUGCUGUGGCCA